UACGUAGGCAGCGAGCGUUGUUCGGAUUCAUUGGGCGUAAAGGGUGCGUAGGUGGCGCCGUAAGUCGGGUGUGAAAUCUCGGAGCUUAACUCCGAAACUGCAUUCGAUACUGCCGUGCUUGAGGACUGGAGAGGAGACUGGAAUUUACGGUGUAGCGGUGAAAUGCGUAGAUAUCGUAAGGAAGACCAGUGGCGAAGGCGGGUCUCUGGACAGUUCCUGACGCUGAGGCACGAAGGUCAGGGGAGCAAAACGGG
rnacentral:rRNA from 1 species